CAGCCGCCGCGGGAAUACGUAGGUGGCAAGCGUUGUCCGGAAUUAUUGGGCGUAAAGGGCUCGCAGGCGGUUUCUUAAGUCUGAUGUGAAAGCCCCCGGCUCAACCGGGGAGGGUCAUUGGAAACUGGGAAACUUGAGUGCAGAAGAGGAGAGUGGAAUUCCACGUGUAGUGGUGAAAUGCGUAGAGAUGUGGAGGAACACCAGUGGCGAAGGCGACUCUCUGGUCUGUAACUGACGCUGAGGAGCGAAAGCGUGGGGAGCGAACAGGAUUAGAUACCCGAGUAGUCCCUGUCUCUUAUAC
rnacentral:rRNA from 1 species